AAAGAAAUUUAGCAAUGCUUUUUAAUUAUAUUCAGAAGUGAUUUGUGAAAUUGUAUAUUUUAAUCAAUACUAAUGAAUAUUAGAAAAUAUUUGUAAAAAAACUGACAUUAACCCUCCUAAUUACUUCAAUACAAUUGAGGUUAACUAUCCAUUUAAUCUAGCAAAUAUAAGGUCAAGAGACAAAAACAAUUGAUGAAUCAGUGGAAGUGCACUAAAUUGAAUACAAAAAAAGAGUUGUCUUCUCUGAGAUCUUACCGCUGUGAAACAUCAAAAACUGGAGGUGGAACAAAGUCACCAUCACCUUCUCCAGACACAAUGGACGUGGCAGAGAUGAUACCGCAACAGUUUGAAGUCGAUUUCAAUGAAUUUGAUUGUGAAGGUGUCGAGGAUUAUAAUCGAAAGGGUAAAGAAAAUCAUGUCAAACUGAAUAACAAGAA